AUACCUUUCUCAGCCUUUUGGCUAAGAUCAAGUGUAGUAUUUAUUUGAUAAGUGGAUCAUAGAACCACAUGAUAUUAAAUGUAUUUUUCUAGGGGGAGGGCCCACUUACAAUAGCUUGCUAUUGGGGCUCUCGGUCGUCGCUUGUGUGUUAUUCGAUGGUGUGUUG
rnacentral:snRNA from 1 species